rnacentral:rRNA from 1 species
UACGAAGGGGGCUAGCGUUGCUCGGAAUCACUGGGCGUAAAGGGUGCGUAGGCGGGUCUUUAAGUCAGGGGUGAAAUCCUGGAGCUCAACUCCAGAACUGCCUUUGAUACUGAAGAUCUUGAGUGCGGGAGAGGUGAGUGGAACUGCGAGUGUAGAGGUGAAAUUCGUAGAUAUUCGCAAGAACACCAGUGGCGAAGGCGGCUCACUGGCCCGAUACUGACGCCUGAGGCACGAAAGCGUGGGGAGCAAACAGGG